CCUACGGGAGGCAGCAGUGGGGAAUAUUGCACAAUGGGGGAAACCCUGAUGCGGCGACGCCGCGUGAGUGAAGAAGUAUUUCGGUAUGUAAAGCUCUAUCAGCAGGGAAGAAGAAAGACGGUACCUGACUAAGAAGCCCCGGCGAACUACGUGCCAGCAGCCGCGGUAAGACGUAGGGGGCAAGCGUUAUCCGGAUUUACUGGGUGUAAAGGGAGCGUAGACGGAGAAGCAAGUCUGAAGUGAAAGCCCGUGGCUUAACCACGGGACUGCUUUGGAAACUGUUUGCCUAGGGUGGUGGAGAGGUAAGUGGAAUUCGUGGUGUGGCGGUGAAAGGCGUGGAUAUGAGGAGGAACACGAGUGGCGAAGGCGGAUUACUGGACAGUAACGGAGGUUGAGGCUCGAAAGGGUGGGGUGCAAACAGGAUUAGAACCCGAGUAGUC
rnacentral:rRNA from 1 species